rnacentral:rRNA from 1 species
AUUGAACGCUGGCGGAAUGCUUUACACAUGCAAGUCGAACGGUAGAGGGGGCAACCCCUCGAGAGUGGCGAACGGGUGAGUAAUAUAUCGGAACGUGCCCAGUCGUGGGGGAUAACGUAGCGAAAGUUACGCUAAUACCGCAUACGAUCUACGGAUGAAAGCGGGGGAUCGCAAGCCCUCGCGCGAUUGGAGCGGCCGAUAUCAGAUUAGGUAGUUGGUGGGGUAAAGGCUCACCAAGCCAACGAUCUGUAGCGGGUCUGAGAGGACGACCAGCCACACUGGAACUGAGACACGGUCCAGACUCCUACGGGAGGCAGCAGUGGGGAAUUUUGGACAAUGGACGCAAGUCUGAUCCAGCCAUUCCGCGUGCAGGAUGAAGGCCCUCGGGUUGUAAACUGCUUUUGUACGGAACGAAAAGGUUUCCAUUAAUACUGGGAGCUCAUGACGGUGCCGUAAGAAUAAGCACCGGCUAACUACGUGCCAGCAGCCGCGGUAA